rnacentral:rRNA from 1 species
CGUGUAGGCGGUUUGGUAAGUCUGAUGUGAAAGCCCCGGGCUCAACCUGGGAAGUGCAUUGGAAACUGUCAGACUUGAAUACGGGAGAGGGUAGUGGAACUCCUGGUGUAGGAGUGAAAUCCGUAGAUAUCAGGAGGAACACCGGUGGCGAAGGCGGCUGCCUGGACCGAUAUUGACGCUGAGACGCGAAAGCGUGGGUAGCAAACAGGAUUAGAUACCCUGGUAGUCCACGCCGUAAACGAUGAGUACUAGGUGUUGCGGGUAUUGACCCCUGCAGUGCCGCAGCUAACGCAUUAAGUACUCCGCCUGGGAAGUACGGUCGCAAGACUAAA